UUCUGUGAUGAAACCGCUAUAUAGGAAGUGCCGUCUGAUGCGAUAACUGACGAUGGCAAAGCAACAUCUUUCUGAGA
ensembl:snoRNA